ACAAAGGGAAAACAGAUUAUUCCUACUGAAGCCCCUUCUGCUGUUAGCUUCCACCCAGGCGGCCUGUGCCUAAAGGAAUUAGAGUUGAGACUUGAGCGACCACCUGUCAGAGAUGCAGGCUUCACAGGCACAGCUGCAGCAAGAACCCUGGUACCCAAUUGUCUGCGACUACAGCUGGAUCAAGGGUUCAACUGUGGGAAUGGCUCAGUCAGAAGGAGCCAUUCCUCUACCACCUGCAGCUUCAAGGCCAAGGCUGAUUCUGAGAACCAGUGGACCUUCCAAGAGCUGGUUUUAGAGCCUCCCUUGGGAUGAAGAAUGCUCCACAGCUGGAAGGUGAUUCAAUUGAAGGCUCAGCAGACAACACAUAAGAGCAUCAAGUCAUUGGCCACAUUCAUGCUCAAGUGUCCUGAAACCAAAGAUUAUUAGAAGAAAACUUCCAUUGUACAGCAAGUGGAUUCCCUGAUCUUCACGCUUAGGGUGCAGAGAUACAUAAUGCUGCCAGAAGGAUGCAACAGAUGAAAGGAUGUCACAAAAGUACCUUUUGCACUUGAUGAAAAGAAGGAAAACAGCAAAGCAAGUUCAAGUCCAAACACGACAACACUGCAGGGAUCCUUUGCUGAAGGUAGAAUUUUAGACCACAGAAUGCUCUUGAUGAUUUCAACCCACCAGGCUCCUUUGAUUUGAGAAGCCAUGGUCCAUCCCCAUCCAAUUGUGAUCAGUACCUAGGGAGACCAAUUCCCAGAUGGACACACAGCAUUGACAGGCCUAAGCCCUGCUCCUCUCAAUUCCCAUCCUGUGAGAACAGAAGUCCAGAGCUGCUGGGAUGAGACAGCAUGUCACCUGGGACUCUGCCAGGGUAGAGUAUGAACAAUGCCAUGUUCUUGCUGAAAAUGCUUAGCCUGAGUUUCAUAGGAGGUAAUCCUCAGACAAUUGCAGAAUGUAGAACAUUGAACAGCACAGCUGACCUGUCUCCUUCAAACAGUCCAUGUCACCACCAAGAACACAACAAAGAAGCAGAGAGACAUUUUGGGUUCAAAAAGAGCAAAAAGACUAUGUAGCUUAUGCAUUUUUAGCCAUUUUGAACCCCAAACAUCUCUUCCUCUUUUGGUUGUUGUCAUUGAUGGUGGUGACAUGGACUUGUUUGUAGAGGACAGGUCUGCUGUCUGGCUCAAAGCUCCACAUUCUGAAGUCAAAAUGUCUUCAUGAUUAAAUUCAGCCUAAACAUUUUGCCAGGAACACUGCAGAGUCAUGCUGUGAGCUUCCUACCAGUCCAUCUGCAGGCAAAGAAGGCCCAGUAUCUUAGUCUUCAUUAUUGUGAUACUAGGAUGGUCACUUGCUUAAGGAGGGGUCCAGGAGUUCUGUUGCUUGUUAAGAUACCUUAUUUAUAAUUAAUUUGGAAAGUGGUUUGAAACAGUAUAAAUAUCCUAUAUACUAACAAUCUUUCUCUGAACAUUUUAUCAUUAAUUAAUCACCCCUGCCUGUGUCAGCUAUUAUACUUAUGGUUAUACAUUGAAAAUUUUCUUUUUUAUUAUUAUUAUACUUCAAGUUCUGCGGUAUAUGUGCAGGUCAUGCAGGAUUGUUAGAUUGGUAUACACAUGCCAUGGUGUUUUGCUACAUCCAUCCCCUCAUCUUCUAUAUUAGGUAUUUCUCCUAAUAUUAUCCCUCCCAAUCCCCUCAUCCCCUGUUAUCCUUCCACUAUCUCCUCACCCCACAACAGGCCCCAGUGUGUGAUAAUCCCCUCCCUGUGUCCAUGUGUUCUCACUGUUCA